rnacentral:rRNA from 1 species
GGAAAAUAAAAUGCCACCGAGCUCCGACCCCGCUUUCUUUCUCGAGAGAGAAAGAGACGCGGGGGAAGGGCGCAGUUAUUAGAACACAAAAACCGGUCGGACUUCGGUCCGUUCCAAAACCAAACCUUUGUGAUGACUCUGAAUAACCCAGCCGAGCGCUAAGGUCUUCGUACCGGCGCCGUAUCCUCCAAGUGUCUGCCUUAUCAGCUGUCGAUUGUAGGUUAUUCGCCUACAAUGGCUGUAACGGGUAACGGGGAAUCAGGGUUCGAUUCCGGAGAGGGAGCCUGAGAAACGGCUACCACAUCUAAGGAAGGCAGCAGGCACGCAAAUUACCCACUCCCGGCUCGGGGAGGUAGUGACGAAAAAUAACGAUGCGGGACUCAUCCGAGGCCUCGCAAUCGGAAUGAGACUACCUUAAAUCCUUGGUCGAGGAUCAAUUGGAGGGCAAGUCUGGUGCCAGCAGCCGCGGUAAUUCCAGCUCCAAUAGCGUAUAUUAAAGUUGCUGCGGUUAAAAAGCUCGUAGUUGAGUUUCAAGUUCGGCCCGGAAGUCCAUCCUGGGUUCGUCUUGGCCCCCGUCGCGACGGGAUCAUGCCACUCGAGAUCGCGUGUCGGAGUGCUUUUUUAAGCGCGAAGAUGCCCUCACACUUGACAGUUGGUUCACGAGCCUCGCUCGCGCCUGUUGAGCUUGAAAAUGGAGAAAAAACUCUCUCUUAAACAUAAGACACCGAACGAAAUGGUCGAUCGUCGUACUUCCCGAAAGGGAAGGGCUUCGAGGCACACAUUCCCGUUCGUCUCCGCGACAGGGAACGACGAAAGUCGUUGCCGGCUCGCCUAACCGACCUCCCCGGUCCGGAACGACGGCUUCCCGCCGCUCUCCGAAGCUCACCACGUCCGUUUCACACGGGCGUCGAGUAGCUCGCGAAUCUCUCCCACUACGUGGGGCGGAAAAAGUUACGUUUCUUUGAAACAAAAAGAGAUUCCGCGCGGCCUCGACGCUUGGGCGGCGGCAGAGAUCGGAUGAUGCGGGUUGUUUUCGUCGCGUCCGGUAACCGCGGCUCGGAGGCCCCCGGUUAGAAACGAGUUAGCGGGCGUUCGGGCGUAGCCUCAAUACGGAGUCGACGUUCGCGCCUAUCGGACCGCCUUAUUCGAAGAGAGAAUCUCCGAAUUCGAAAGCGAUAUACAGCGACGUGAGCGGGGAUACAACUCGGCCUUCGGUCUUGUGUGACGCGUAGUAGGUCUUCGAGAGCGGCAGUUCCCGGCGGGUUUAAAAGCGAGCCCGGGUGGUUCUCUGUCCGACGCCGAACUAUCUAAAAGCCGUCGGCUUUCGCGGGGUGCUCUUCACCGAGUGUCUCUCGAGGCCGACACCUUCACUUUGAAAAAAUUAGAGUGCUCAAAGCAGGCAAAGACUUAAACAACGCCUGAAUGGUAACGCAUGGAAUGAUGGAAGAGGACCUCGGUUCUGCUCUUUUUUAUCGGUUUUUCUGAACCAGAGGUAAUGAUUAAAGGGAACUGACGGGGGCAUUAGUGAUUGCGGCGCUAGAGGUGAAAUUCUUGGACCGUCGCAAGACUAACUACUGCGAAAAGCAUUUGCCAAGAAUGUUUUCAUUUAAUCAAGAAACGAAAGUUAGAGGAUCGAAGGCGAUCAGAUACCGCCCUAGUUCUAACCCUAAACGAUGCUAACUGGCGAUCCGCUUGAGUCAUACCCACGACUGAGCGGGAAUCCCCCGGGAAACCAAAGUUUUUGAGUUCCGGGGGAAGUAUGGUUGCAAAAUCGAAACUUAAAGGAAUUGACGGAAGGGCACCACCAGGAGUGGAGCCUGCGGCUUAAUUUGACUCAACACGGGGAACCUUACCAGGCCCAGACACCGGAAGGAUUGACAGAUUGAGAGCUCUUUCUUGAUUCGGUGGAUGGUGGUGCAUGGCCGUCCUUAGGUGGGAACGAAAGGCCA